AUAUUUUUGGAUGUGUGCAGAAGCGGUAAGGAGACAGAGAAAGGGGAUUUAAACCCGUGGAGACAGCGGCAGGAAAGAUUGGCAGAAACUCUCCCGCACAACCUGUUUCCUUGCAAAAGGAGGUGCUGGCUGCAGCACCCUUGUGUGGCUUGUGGGUGUGGUCAGGCCAGGUUGGGAUGUGGGGAUGGUGCCAGGGAGCUGACCCUGUUCCAGGAGCAGAGUCCAUGCCCCUUCCUCCCGAGCCCUCGAAAGCUGGGACUGCAGCACUGCUCACAGGAAACCCUCCUCCUCCACUCUGUGGCAGUUAUACACAACACAGACCAUUUCCAGGUGUUUUGUGGUUACCCAAAGCUGCUUCCCCUGUUCCACCUGAGGAAUAUCCAAUCUUCUGAUUGCUUGUUUUCUGUGCUUAUGGUACUUACGGUGUUACAUAUCUUGGAGUUUAUGAGGAAAUCAAGCAGCGCUUGCUCAGCACCUGAUAGUGCAGAUGCUAAGCUGCAGUCAUCAUUUCUGCCAUCCACUUUGUGCUCACCGUGAAACUUGGAGGAAAAUGUGUUUCCUUGGCAGAAGGACCCCAUAAACAGUGGAGCAGAGGAGACCCCUGUGUUCCUGACUGGCAUGGGAAUCCAGCUACAUGGCGCUGAUGCCCACUCCUGUCAAGAUGCAACCCCUCUGCCCUUUGCAACCUUGCCCAGAGCCAAGUGUGGGAUCUGUCAACAUAUGGCUCAGUUGGACUCAAGUUUCCUUUUUUAACACUGGAAGCAAUUUUAAUGAAUAAUACUGGGGACAAGAUGGAAAGGAAGGGAUGUUUGAAUUAACUAGGGAAUAAAAUAUAAAGUGUAUCUUGCCCUCCUGAUAGCAAUGUACAGUUCUUCUCAUUGAAAUUGAAACAAGAAAAUGCCAAAAU
rnacentral:lncRNA from 1 species